CUCGAGUAUCCGUCUGGUCUGCUUUGCUGACAUGCCACCCACACCAGGAUCACAAUGUAUCUCUUCAAAGACUGAAGAAUCUCGAGGUUACGUUCGCAAAGGCAACAUGCCAUGUGGCCAUUGGAGGGCAGUGUGUAUCCAAUGUUGCCACAUCUCUUACACAGCCUGAAAGUGCACCCUUGAUUUGCAUGAGGGGUCCCAAGAUCUUCAGCUUGAUGUUUGCAGUCCUCACCUCUCUCCCACCAGAACCCUUUGCCUUUUUUCCAGGAUAAAAGCAUCAUGAUGAAGCAUCAUUAGUGCGAUGGGAAAAUGGUGAAGAGAUCUCCUAAUGAUUUGAGGGAAGAAAACUGCAAGCAAAAUUUGGUGGAGAGUCAGGCUUUGGUCGAGCCACCCUAUAUAUAGUAAAUGAAGGAAGAUAGUGAAGCUUGAAGUCAAAUAAUUGCGUGUGCACAAAGGAGUUACGUUUUUGCCUGUGUGUCUCUCAGAUUUACACUUAUAGUAUUUUAAAGUAUAUUAAAGUAUAAAUGGAUAUAAAUGGACAUUAAAUAUGUUACUGUAGCGAAUUGUAUUUGUUAUUUAUUCACGAUGUAGAGAGUCACGUGGAAGGUCAUAUUUAUCACAUCUAAUUGUCCUUUUGGUUUAAUUUAGAGGUCCAUUAAGGGAUAAUGGGAUCAGUUUGGGUUGGAGGCAUGUUCAGCCCAGACCAAAUAAUUCUGACAAUUUCUAACCGUAAGGGAAAUUUAUGGGAAAUGAGAGGGAUUGCUAUCAUCUCUGGUAUCAUUGAACCUAGAUCAGUCUAACUGAAGACGCUCUAAAAGCCCUCUCCCACUGUACGAUUUCAUUCAAAGAGUUCUCUCGAGUUUGCCCUGAUUCGAACUCUGAGAUUUAUGGUAAUGGCCUCUCGUAGGUACUCGGGGCUCUCGUGGACAUUUUUCAACGUUGAAAAAUCUUCACGAGUCUUCCCGAGCUUACCGCGUUUCCCGAGUACCUGCCGUUAGCGUUAUGAGCCGCUAAGCUCCGACGUCCCCGAGCUCCGACGUACCCGCUACGUUCAUUCUAUGUGCUUACCACGAGUUUGAUUUUUUUUUAAACCCGGGAGAGCACUUGAAUGAACUCGUACAGUCGGACAGGGCUAUAAACCUUCAGAACCUGAAGGAACCUGAAGCAAACGACAAAGUGCUGGAGAAACUCAGCGAAUCAGGCAACAGCUCUGAAGGGAAUGGACAGGUUUUAGGCUUGAGACAUUAAAGACACAGUGCUGACCAGCGAUCCCAAUACACUAGUACUAUCCUAUACACUAGGGACAAUUGUACAAUUUUACCGAAGCCAAAUAAUCUACGACCUUGUACGUCUUUGGAGUGUGGGAGGAAACGGAGCAUCUGGAAAAAACCCAUGUGGUUACAGGCAGAAUGUACGAAGUCCGUACAGAUAGCACCCGUAGUCAGGAUCGAACCCGGGCCUCUGGUGCUGUUAGGUAGCAACUCUACUGCUGCUCCACUGUACCAUCCUGUGACAUUUUGGAUUGGGACCCUUCUGCACUCUAAUUAGGGGUUAAAAAAGAAAUGGAAAACUAUAAUAAAGAGGGGCAUGGAGGAAAAUGAGUUGGAAGAAGCAGAAAAGUAAGACUGAAAAUGCUGGUGAAACACGAUUUAGAAGAAAAAUCCUUAUUUUUAUUAGGGCAAAUGAAGGAAGGAGAAAAUGAUGGCAGUAAGCUAUUUAAAUGUUGCACACAAAAGAGUUAAUUUCUUGUUUGUGCAUAACUCAGACCUACAUUUGUUCGGAGAAUUUUAAAAUCAUUACAUUUUUGGCUAUGACAACGCUGACCAUCUAAGAAUCUUGUUCUCCUGAGUCAGCUCCAUAGAACUAUUUUCCUAACCAUGAUUGAGCUGCACAUUAAAGAAAAAUCCAACAGAUAUGGAGCCAAGACAUUUUUUUAUAUAAGGUUUUGAGAUUAUAUGCAGUUUUUCUGGCUUGUUAACUCUAGAUGAUUUCUAAAUAUUUGGGUCUGUUCCAUCUUUCCAGAAGGAUGAGGCCUUUGGUUUACUUCAUUAAGUGGAAGGAGAUGAGGAAUUAGUACCAAGUUGCAUGCAUUUAAAGCCCACUCAAUUCCUCAACCUUUCCUUUCCUUUCAUUUUUUGUUUUUUCACGUAGAAUACCAAAGUUGAAAAUGCCGGAAACACUCAGAAGAAUCAUGGGAAGAAUCUGUACAAAGGGAUUGUGAAAAGGUGAUUGUGAGGUCAAAUAAUCGGCACUGCUGAAGGAUCUCGGACCUGAAGCAUUUUCCCUGUUUCACUUUCCGCAGAUGCUGCCCAACCUUUUUAUUUCAGAUUUCCAACAUCUGCAGUGUAGGAAACAAUUGCAGCUGCUGGUUUAAAGAUGCUUUAUCCCAGAGGUGUUGCCUGAAUGCUGAGUUCAAAGAUCAUAAGUGAUAGGAGUUGAAUUAAGCCAUUUGGCCCAUCAAGUCUACUCCACCCUUCAAUCAUUGCUGAUCUAUGUCUCCCUCCUAACCCCAUUCUCCUGCCUUCUCUCCAUAACUUCUGACACCCGGCAGUUAUUCCAGCAUUUUAUGUCGGUCUGCAGUUUUAAAUACAAUAAAUUCAUCUGAAGAAGGGUCCUGACUAAAUAUCAACUCUUCAUGCUCUCCAGAGAUGUUGCCUGACCCGCUGGGUUACUCCAGCACUUUGUGACCUUUUAUUCCAAUAAGUGGCUGGCUCAUUUGGAAAAAUACUCAUUCCCACUAAAGGUUUUGUCAGGAAACAUUGCAUUUUAAAAGAAUUAUCGACUUUGGCAAAGAGACCCAACAGGUGGGAGGAACACAGGUUGUGUGACCAAGUUGUAAGUAAAAGAAAUUCAGGUGGAUUUUCUUUAUACAUUCGAAAGGACACAACAUUUGUGGAUUAAGUUGUGGAUGGUAGCAAAUUAUGUAUACAAGCAGAUAAAAUACCAAUAUUUUCUGCAGUAAAUUUCUUCUUAUUUGUUGAUGCUAUGCAAACUCAUAAGGACUACUAUCGUUAAUUUCCCACCAAUAAUUGUCCCCCUGGAUUACUUUUGAGGGCAGUUAUGGAUUAAUUGCAUUGGUUUGGAGACCUAGAAAAGGCCAGGUGAGAUAAGGACAGGCCCCCUCCUGUUGAAGGACCUUAAAAAACCAGGGAGAUCUAUGUAAUAGGGACAAGAAACUAAGUGCUGGAGGGUCAGUGGGUCAGGCAGCAUUUGUGGAGGGAAUGGACAGAUGCCAUUUCAGGAUGGGACCUAUCUUCAGACUGUUGUAGUCGACGGGGUGGAAGAAAGUUGGA